UGUGGAAAUUAGCAUCAUAGUUUGCUAGGUCAAGUCAUGUGGAAAUUAGCAUCAUAGUUUGCUAGGUCAAGUCAUGUGGAAAUUAGCAUCAAAGUUUGCUAGGUCAAGUCAUGUGGAAAUUAGCAUCAUAGUUUGCUAGUCAAGUCAUGUGGAAAUUAGCAUCAUAGUUUGCUCGGUUAAGUCAUGUGGAAAUUAGCAUCAGAGUUUGCUAGGUCAAGUCAUGUGGAAAUUAGCAUCAUAGUUUGCUAGGUCAAGUCACGUGGAAAUUAGCAUCAGAGUUUGCUCGGUCAAGUCAUGUGGAAAUUAGCAUCAUAGUUUGCUAGGUCAAGUCAUGUGGAAAUUAGCAUCAUGGUUUGCUAGGUCAAGUCAUGUGGAAAUUAGCAUCAUAGUUAUCUAUGAUAAGAUAACCUAUGGCCCUACUGGUGUUGACAGUGUG